GAUGAAGAACGCAGCGAAAUGCGAUAAGUAAUGUGAAUUGCAGAAUUCAGUGAAUCAUCGAAUCUUUGAACGCACAUUGCGCCCGCCAGCAUUCUGGCGGGCAUGCCUGUUCGAGCGUCAUUUCAACCCUCGAGCCCCCCCGGGGGCCUCGGUGUUGGGGGACGGCACACCAGCCGCCCCCGAAAUGCAGUGGCGACCUCGCCGCAGCCUCCCCUGCGUAGUAGCACACACCUCGCAUCGGAGCGCGGAGACGGUCACGCCGUAAAACGCCCAACUUCUUAGAGUUGACCUCGGAUCAGGUAGGAAUACCCGCUGAACUUAAGCAUAUCAAUAAGCGGAGGA
rnacentral:misc_RNA from 1 species